UCAUUGAGAACAAUGGCAAUAAACUUGAACUCUGUUCAAGUUGGGCGUUCCGGGAGGAAAAUUGACGUCGAAGAUACACACGACUUGCAGCGUGAUGGGUGGUUGAUUCGCAUCUAUUUUGGCGUUGGAACACGACGGAAUGCUCCAACUAGACGAAAGUUUACAAACACCCGAACGCGGCGCCGCUUUGGGUUAAGGUUACGGUGAACAAUCUACAGUGUCUGGAGUAACGGUUCUGAUAACAUUCGUUGAGGCACGUGAGAAUUCACAACAGGAAAUAACUCAAUCCAGCAAGAAUGGUGUGUUGCACCUCGGUUCGAUACUUGAAAAAGUUUUACGGAAAAUAAUUGUAGAAUAUGUUUUCUAUUGAUUGUGAAAAACCAUAGUUUCAAGAGAUAUUUUUAUUUCUGAUAUGAUAUUUCUAAUAUGAGGGAAGGUAGGGAACUUUUGAGCGAGUUUUAAUUUCAGAGUGUAUUACCAUAAGCUACCAAUAUAUCAACUGAUAUUCUCAGAAAUACUUAAAAUGAAACUAUGUGCAGAAAUCAUUUGUAGAACUCAGCAUCAUUCUUAUUAGUGACUUUCAGAUGCUUCUGGAGCAUUUCUAUAAAAUCUUUCAAAUAAUUUUCAAAUGAACAUAAAACAAAAACAAACAAAAACAAUGUUACGUAUGGAUAACUUCUUGCAUAAUGUACCAAAUCUCUCAACUGAAUACAAUUCUUAAAAGAGGUGAACCAACAAA